GAUGAAGAACGUAGCGAAAUGCGAUACGUAAUGUGAAUUGCAGAAUUCAGUGAAUCAUCGGGUCUUUGAACGCACAUUGCGCCCCCUGGCAUUCCGGGGGGCAUGCCUGUCCGAGCGUCAUUUCUGCCCUCCAGCCCGGCUGGGUGUUGGGCGCUGUCCCCCCGGGGACACGCCCCAAAGGCAGUGGCGGCGCCGCGUCGGGUCCUCGAGCGUAUGGGGCUUUGUCACCCGCUCGGGACGGACUCGUCGGCGCUGGUCUUCCUCCAGGCGACCCUUCGGGGCUCGUCUUCCUUCGGUUGACCUCGGAUCAGGUAGGGUUACCCGCUGAACUUAAGCAUAUCAAUAAGCGGAGGA
rnacentral:misc_RNA from 1 species